rnacentral:lncRNA from 1 species
AUGGGGGCCCGGAGGCUUCCCCUCCUGUUUCCCCAUUCUUUGGGCAUUGUGGGAGCCCCAGGCGACGGGGUCCUGACCCAUGGGUUUGGGCUGCUCGGGGCAGGAUGGCAGAGACUUUCCGGGUCCCUCGCUUCUAACCCAGUCGACCCAGGCUCCUCACGCUUCCCCCGGGCCUUGGGAGGUAGUGGAGGAAGAGGAACUGAAGCAGCCCAUGGGGGGCGUACGAGAGAUAAGGUGGCAUUUGGAGGCUCCCCCAUUCCUGGGACCCCCCCACUGACCCACCCCCAGGCCCAUGGAGUGUUCUCCUUCUGGUCCUCCCUUCUGGCUUUCAGCCCUUCUCCCAGAGGCCUUCGCCAGACGGCCCCUUCCGGACCUUCUCCCGGGCUGCCUCCUUUUGGGCAAUCUCUCUGCUCCUACACGUGCAGCCGUUGGCCCAUUGUCCUCCCGUUAGACUGGAGGCUGCAGGGCAGGGCCGCUCGUGCCAUUCUGCCCCCAGACCCUGUCAGCACAGGGUGGGCACAAAUGCCUGCCAACUGGCCAAGGGGCCCGAGGCAAGGUCACCCUGCCAGCCUCAGUUUCCCCAGCUCUCCAGGGCUCCCGGUCCUUCCACUCCUAGAGCGGGGAAGUCCUUUCACAUCCUACCCCGGGACUCGGGCUGCUCCUUGGCCAGGGAGCCCCCCAGCAGGGGGCCAGGGAGGGAAGGGAGUGAGCCCUCAGUGGAGGCCGGAAUCCCAGGGUGGCCGGUGCUGCUCGGCCCCAAAACUUUGGUGGGGUUCCAAUGGACAUUUUAAUGCUAAUUGGGAGGGAGCUCCCCAGCUGUGGGGGAGGGCCUCUGUCCUUCUCCCACCCCAUCUCCCCCUUCUGUGUUCCCCCUCCCCCUCCUCUCCUCCUGUGUUCCCCCUCCCCCUCCUCUCCUCCUGUGUUCCCCCUCCCCCCUCUCUCCUUAACAGCAACCCCACCCCCACCCCCCCACCCCCACCCCCACCCCCACUGCAUCUCCAGGAGCUCUCUGACCUGCACCUCAGGCCCGGGUCACCGGCAUCCCCUGCCCCAGAUGCCCCCCCAAGGCCCAUGGGGGGUGGGGGCGACAGGGGUGGGUUGGGCGAUUCUCGUGGUCGAAUUUCCUGUGAUUAA